AAUAAUUAUAUGGUCUGAAAAUAAGAAUAAUUUUGCUUUUUCUUAGCCAAUAUUUAUAUCUCUUAUUUUGUUUCACAGGAAAGUAUAAAUAGGAAAAAUAUUUCCUUCACAAUAGCAACACAACUCAUGAAAUACACAGAAAUAAGAGAGUAAAUGAGUGUAUGAAUUAUAUGAAGAAAACUAUGGAACUCUACCAAGGAGUCUUAAUGCCUGGUGAGAUGUCCAUUUUCAUGGGGUGAUUCAACACCAGGAAGAAGCCUUUUCUCCCCACAUCAAUCUACAGAGUCAGAGAAACUCUAGUAGGAUUCUAAUAGGAUAUUUAUUGAAUUGUGACAAAGAAUUUCAAAAGUUCAUUGGGUAUGAAAUAAAAAUGAGAUAAUCUCAGAAAAUUUUAAAGAAGAAUAAUUGUUAGGAGGGUCAGCCUGACUAGCCACUCCAAUAAGAAGUAAGAGUAACUUAAACAGAAUGGUACUGAUGUGAGCAUGGGCAAGACCAGGAGAAGAGCACGGUCGUGACGCAACCCCAAGCACACACUGGAAAUGGAACAGGACAGAGACGGCAUCACUCGGCAGAAGAGUUUGUGGGAGGUUUUACUGGAUUGGCAGGAGAUUUUUGAUUAUUUCCCCAACAGCGAUCGAUAAGCAUCUAUUGAAUGGAUGCUUGGCUGUCAAGCCAGGCUCUCAGUCUGCUCGACCAGCAGGAUUCAGAAGGACAAGUGUCCUGGAGAAUAUCCCGGAUUCGCCAACAGCUGCUUCGAUGAAACCGAGCUCACUGAACCAUCCAAGAGCCGCAGAUCAAUUUUCCAAACGCCAACUGGCCAAGUUUGCCUGCUUUAACCUUUUAAUUUUAGUUGGGCAGUUUCAAAACAGCUUCUUAAGGACUGUUUAAUUCAGUUCUGCCCUUGCUGCCUGCUGGGCAGGCGUGUUCCUGAAUAAGAAGAAUCCGUAUGAAUAUGUGAUUCUUAUGACCCUGCCUCUCGGUCUCCAUCUGCAUCAACAGGAGCUGGGCCAGAGGGGGACUGAAAUUUUAUCGUCACGCUUUUUCGGAAUACAAAAAUUAAAAACAGAACCUACAUCUAAAGGACUAAAAAAAAUGUGAAAAGCCACCAGUAACCAUGGGCACCCGAACCUGUCCUCCCUGGCGUGGUGACUACGGCAGGUGUGCGCAGAGGGAGUCCGGGGCCCGCCCCUCUCCGCUCCGGGGGGCGUGCUGUGUGUGGGGAGUGCACCCAUCGCAAAGCUCCUCACAAUCCGGGUUUGUUAAACUUGGUCCUCCCUGAACGGAUCACGGACCCGCACACGCUGUACAAACCUGGAGUCGGGGCGCUUCAUCCUUUUAACCAGCUUUGUUUUCAGGUGAAGUAUCUCAGAGAGAGGCUUUCAUUUGUUUGUUGAAUUAUUGACAAGUGAAUUUACAAAAUACCAUUAAACAAGAUCGUUACAGGUAACAGUGAAACAACAGCCAACGAAUAAGCUGAUGACAAUCCAAUGGAUCUACACAGUCAUUUAAACAUGUAUUAGCCUAGAGUCUUGUCACUUUGUUUACAGAUUCCCAUUAAACUCAUAUUUUGCCCAAGUCGCUUUUUUUUCAU
rnacentral:lncRNA from 1 species